CAGCAGCAAGACGGCAACCACGCACCCAGCUGCUCCAGCCACAGCUCAUGCCGCCGUCGCCAGCGGCGCCGACAUGACAAGGCGCUGCAUGCCCGCUAGGCCAGGUUUCCCCUCAUCCCCAGCCCCAGGGUCGUCGCCCCCGCGCUGCCAUCUGAGACCCGGUAGUACCGUCCCUGCUGCAGCGGGAAAGAGAACAGAGAGUCCUGGGGACAGGUACCGUGCAGAGGGCUUGAGAAGGGGCCGGGUCGCGGGGGCAAGGGUAUGAGGGAGGACUGCGGACGGCCACUCUUCCAGUUCCCGCCAUCCUCCGCGAGCUCAGGCCUCCGCGUCCGGGGCCUGGCAACCCCCUCGCCCCGCCUCCGCGCGGUGGCUGCUGGGAGUUCGAGUCUCCUUUUCUGUAGUUGGGACGCUGUUCUCGGUCUAGUGACCACAGCCUGGCUGGCGAUGGACAACCCGCCUUAGGUAGAACGUGAUUUUUGCCCUUUACUUUAGCUGGACCCGGGGCCCUGACUGCUAAAUGCAUAUUUAAGUGGUUUUCUGUACGUUGUCCGUUCUAAUGCUUCUAGUGGUUGAAUCGUUUAAGCCUUUUCUACGUUGUGGGUAAACUUAUGUAAGAUGUGAUGAGGGAAACCCUUCCACGAAUUGCUUUAUAGUCUAGUAUACACGAUAAGUUUUAAUUAAAAGAACAUGCAGAUUUGGAAUGUGAUAUAUUUUCUUCUUCAGGAACUUUACGCCUUUCCAAGAGGCCAGGUUUUUUUGUAAAGAUUUUGUGGGAGCUAUGUAAUGAGAUGGAGAGUUUCAUCAAAUGACAUCCUCUGACAAUAAAACGUGUUUAAAUUCUCUA